rnacentral:ncRNA from 1 species
CAGGUUCAGGUCUGUGAUUGAAAGUCCAAGCCAGGCACGGGCAAAGGGAUCCACGUAAGCUGCACAGGCGAAAAUGCCGCAGUGAUCAUGGCGUGCUUUAGAAGUAAGUCCUCCGCAAAGCGGGUAAAGGCAGGUGUGGGGUCAAAGAUCAGGUCAGCUGAACCUG